rnacentral:rRNA from 1 species
ACGAACGCUGGCGGCGUGCUUAACACAUGCAAGUCGAACGGAAAGGCCCUGCUUUUGUGGGGUGCUCGAGUGGCGAACGGGUGAGUAACACGUGAGUAACCUGCCCUUGACUUUGGGAUAACUUCAGGAAACUGGGGCUAAUACCGGAUAGGAGCUCCUGCUGCAUGGUGGGGGUUGGAAAGUUUCGGCGGUUGGGGAUGGACUCGCGGCUUAUCAGCUUGUUGGUGGGGUAGUGGCUUACCAAGGCUUUGACGGGUAGCCGGCCUGAGAGGGUGACCGGCCACAUUGGGACUGAGGUACGGCCCAGACGCCUACGGGAGGCAGCAGUGGGGAAUAUUGCACAAUGGGCGGAAGCCUGAUGCAGCAACGCCGCGUGCGGGAUGACGGCCUUCGGGUUGUAAACCGCUUUCGCCUGUGACGAAGCGUGAGUGACGGUAAUGGGUAAAGAAGCACCGGCUAACUACGUG